rnacentral:lncRNA from 1 species
AGAAUCAUAGAAUUCUCCAUCGAUCAGUGUGUUUGUUUGGUUUUUAGCUCAUAUAAAGUGGUACAUGUAAAAAUACUAUACGAGAAAAUAUUUUCACGUGAAAAAAUGCAUGUGUGGUAUAAGAGUAUUUUCACACCAAGUGAUCCUAGUAUAUUUUUUUCCCAACGAUUGACACUAACCUAAUCGCGUAAGGUUGCGAGUUUUUUGAUGUAAAAAUAGUUCCCAGAAUGACUUUUCGCAUGUACCUACUACCAAACGCGCCUAAUUUACUUGUGCAUGCAAUUGAUAUUAUCACUUUUACUGGGGACUGCAAGCUAGAUUUUUUUUUUAACUCUUUCAUAAAACUGCUUAUACCGUCAGUAAAUUGCAAAUUUCGGUCUUUUGCCGAAGAAAAUCCAAGGACCGAAGCCAUAUGUCACGCUCAGCUUCUCACACGUGCGCGAAGAUCCUGAAGAGAGAUAAACUCUAUUCUUUAGGGGAGAGAGAGAGAGAGAGAGAGAAGAAAAAGCCGAAAAUGAGGAAGGGGAGGAGUGCGUGAGAUAGAGAGAGAGGAGGGGGUAGAGAGAGAAAGGAG